UCUGAUCCUUAGUCCCACCUCCACGUGAGGCAGCACUUCUUUGACUCUGAUCUCUUUAGGUGGAGCUCAGAUCUUCUGUCUGUGCUCACCUCUGAUCUCACAUGUCUAUCACAGCUCAGGCUUUCUGUCAGAACCCUGAUUGUGGCUAUAGCCUUAGACCUGGGGAGAUGCCUUGAGGGACCUUGCUUAUUAGUACCAUGGAGAUGCGGCUGAGCAGGGCUGCCAUAGUACCUCUUAAUUUGCUCUGGGACUAGGGCUUCUAGAGGGUAAGGCACAGUUUUGUAUGGCUUUUUGUUUUUUUUCCUCAGCCUCUUCGGUGAUCUUUGGUUUGAAAGGCUACGUGGCAGAGCGGAAGGGUGAGAGGGAGGAGAUGCAGGACGCCCAUGUCAUCCUGAAUGAUAUCACUCAGGAGUGUAAUCCUCCAUCAUCUCUCAUUACUCGGGUUUCAUACUUUGCUGUUUUUGAUGGACAUGGAGGAAUUCGAGCCUCGAAAUUUGCUGCACAGAAUUUGCACCAGAACUUAAUCAGGAAAUUUCCUAAAGGAGAUGUAAUCAGUGUGGAGAAGACUGUGAAGAGGUGCCUGCUAGAUACUUUUAAGCACACCGAUGAAGAGUUCCUGAAACAGGCUUCAAGCCAGAAGCCUGCCUGGAAAGACGGGUCCACUGCCACGUGUGUCCUGGCUGUGGACAACAUCCUGUAUAUCGCCAACCUUGGAGAUAGUCGGGUAUG
rnacentral:lncRNA from 1 species